AGAGCACCAGAGGGAAACUGUCCUUGAAAAUGAGAGAAGCUCGAAAGACCUGCAGAUCCAGGUGAGCAGCCCUUUCAGCCACUGGUCGAGUUCGCACUUGGCAUGAGGACAUAUUCAGGUCACAGCAGCAGUGAUUACCAAAAGGAGACAGACAAAAGACAGGUACCAGAAAGAGCUGAAACACCUAGCUCUGUGCCGACUGCCUUCACGUCUGCAUGUCUCCGACAGUCCAUGCGCGGGCGGCCGCCGCGAUGCUGUGUCAGUUCCAGGCCACAGCCACCAGCCGCUGCAGCGCAAAACUAAACAGAGGAGCCGGCCGGCUUGGAGCUGGACUGGGGAGGUCGGCUCUUCUGGUGCUCAGCAGGCUUUCUGCCUGACACUGAUUCUCCCAGCUCUCUGGGUGAUCCCGCCACUCAGGGGAGGCAGGGGUUCAUGUCAGCGGAGUGGAACGGACUCCGUGUCCCUUCAAAGUUGAGACUGCUACUUUCUAGACCCUUUCAUCUCUCCAUAUAAAUAAACCAAGCCUGGAGAGUCUCCAAGGCACCUUUGUUAAACGAGACAGAAUUUAAGCUCCUCCUGAGAGCUUUCUGGUAACCUGAUUUCCAUCCCAGUGAAGAAGUAAAGGUACCAGUGUCGUGGUGACAAAGCAGAAAGAGAAUAUGAGAAGCUGCCUGUGGACACGUGUUCCAGUGAUUACAUCACUCACAUGGAUUUCCUGUUUCUUAGUAAAAUAGAUAUGAAUAUUGUCACAUUGAAAAUUCACAAAGUUCCACGUGUUUGGUUUCAUCCUCACCUUCUUUGUUGAUGAAGUAAAGUAGGAAUUUUCUAUCCAAGUUCCAAACUUGUGAUGAUGCUGAGAAAAUUAAAUUUGAUGUGAUUUGGCUACUCUCAAGUCCUCGAUCAGGAAAGUCAAUAAAUAAACAAA